rnacentral:rRNA from 1 species
GGCGAGCGGGUGAGUAACACGUGGGUGAUCUGCCCUGCACUUCGGGAUAAGCUUGGGAAACUGGGUCUAAUACCGGAUAGGAGCCAUCUUUAGUGUGGUGGUUGGAAAGUUUUUCGGUGUAGGAUGAGCUCGCGGCCUAUCAGCUUGUUGGUGGGGUAAUGGCCUACCAAGGCGGCGACGGGUAGCCGGCCUGAGAGGGUGUACGGCCACAUUGGGACUGAGAUACGGCCCAG